ACGCUAGCGGGAUGCUUUACACAUGCAAGUCGAACGGCAGCACGAGAGAGCUUGCUCUCUUGGGGGCGAGUGGCGGACGGGUGAGUAAUAUAUCGGAACGUGCCCAGUAACGGGGGAUAACUACUCGAAAGAGUGGCUAAUACCGCAUACGCCCUACGGGGGAAACAGGGGGAUUUCAAUCCCUGUCCUUACGGAAGCGGCCGAUAUCGGAUUAGCUAGUUGGGGGGUUAAGGGUUCACCAAGGCAACGAUCCGUAGCUGGUUUGAGAGGACGACCAACCACACUGGGACUGAAACCCGGCCCAGACUCUUCGGGAGGCAGCAGUGGGGAAUUUUGGACAAUGGGGGAAACCCUGAUCCAGCCAUCCCGCGUGUAUGAUGAAGGCCUUCGGGUUGUAAAGUACUUUUGGCAGAGAAGAAAAGGUAUCCCUUAAUACGGGAUCCUGCUGACGGUAUCUCCAGAAUAAGCACCGGCUAACUACGUGCCAGCAGCCGCGGUAAUACGUAGGGUGCAAGCGUUAAUCGGAAUUACUGGGCGUAAAGCGUGUGUAGGCGGUUCGGAAAGAAAGAUGUGAAAUCCCAGGGCUCAACCUUGGAACUGCAUUUUUAACUGCCGAGCUAGAGUAUGUCAGAGGGGGGUAGAAUUCCACGUGUAGCAGUGAAAUGCGUAGAUAUGUGGAGGAAUACCGAUGGCGAAGGCAGCCCCCUGGGAUAAUACUGACGCUCAGGCACGAAAGCGUGGGGAGCAAACAGGAUNAGAUACCCUGGUAGUCCACGCCCUAAACGAUGUCAACUAGCGGUUGUGGCCGUUAGGCGUUAGUAGCGCAGCUAACGCGUGAAGUUGACC
rnacentral:rRNA from 1 species